CAGGUUGAAGGUGCCGUAACAGGUACUGGAGGACCGAACCGAUAAACGUUGAAAAGUUUCCGGAUGACUUGAGGGUAGGGGUGAAAGGCCAAUCAAACUGAGAAAUAGCUCGUACUCCCCGAAAUGUUUUUAGGAACAGCCUGGCGGUAGAGUGUCAUAGAGGUAGAGCUACUAAUUGGAUACGGGGGAGUCACAUCCUACCAAAUCCAGAUAAACUCCGAAUGCUACUGACAUAUACGCUGGAGUGAGGCUUGGGGUGCUAAGGUCCCGGGCCGAGAGGGAAAGAACCCAGACCAUCAGCUAAGGUCCCUAAAUAUACGCUAAGUUGAACUAACGAGGUCCGAUUGCACAGACAGCUAGGAUGUUGGCUUGGAAGCAGCCAUUCAUUUAAAGAGUGCGUAACAGCUCACUAGUCGAGCGAUCGGGCGUGGAUAAUAAACGGGCAUCAAGUGUAUUACCGAAGCUAUGGAUUUGCAGCAAUGCAAGUGGUAGGGGAGCAUUCCAGUUGCGGUGAAGAUAUUCCGUUAGGAGUGUUGGAGCGGCUGGAAAAGCAAAUGUAGGCAUAAGUAACGAUAAGGCAGGUGAGAAACCUGCCCACCGAAAGACUAAGGUUUCCUGAUCAACGUUAAUCGGAUCAGGGUUAGUCGGGGCCUAAGGAUAAUCCGAGUGGAGAUUCCGAUGGACAAUGGGUUAAUAUUCCCAUACUUUCUUAUAUUGUGAUGUGGUGACGGAGAAGUGAAAGGACCGCGUACUGACGGAAUAGUACGUUAAAGCGGGUAGAUAUAUUUUCAGGAGGUAAAUCCCUUGAGAAUGUCGAGCGUGAAAGUACCGCAAUGCUUCGGCAGCGUGGAUAGUGUCCCUAAUCAGGCUUCCAAGAAAAACCGCUAAACGCUAGGUAUAAGAAACCCGUACCGAUAACCGACACAGGUAGUCGAGGAGAGAAUCCUAAGGUGCUCGAGUGAAUCAUGGCUAAGGAACUCGGCAAAAUGGCCCUGUAACUUCGGGAGAAGGGGCGCCCCACGGUAAGACGUGGGGCCGCAGUGAAAAGGCCCAGGCGACUGUUUAACAAAAACACAUGGCUUUGCAAAAUCGAAAGAUGACGUAUAAGGCCUGACACCUGCCCGGUGCUGGAAGGUUAAGAGGGGAUGUUAGGGUUAAACCGAGGCAUUGAAUCGAAGCCCCAGUAAACGGCGGCCGUAACUAUAACGGUCCUAAGGUAGCGAAAUUCCUUGUCGGGUAAGUUCCGACCUGCACGAAUGGUGUAACGAUCUGGGCGCUGUCUCAGCCAUGAGCUCGGUGAAAUUGUGGUAUCGGUGAAGACGCCGGUUACCCGCUACGGGACGGAAAGACCCCGUGCACCUUCACUACAACUUAACAUUGACUUUGGAUAAAUGAUGUGUAGGAUAGGUGGGAGGCUAUGAAGCUGUGUCGCUAGGCAUGGUGGAGCCAACGUUGAAAUACCACCCUUUAUUUAUUCGGAGUCUAAUCCCGAUCAUUCGGGAGACAUUGUUUGGUGGGUAGUUUGACUGGGGUGGUCGCCUCCAAAAGUGUAACGGAGGCUUUCAAAGGUAUGCUCAGCACGCUUGGUAACCGUGCGCGGAGUGCAAUAGCAUAAGCAUGCUUGACUGUGAGACCUACAAGUCGAUCAGGUACGAAAGUAGGAUAUAGUGAUCCGGUGGUUCUGCAUGGAAGGGCCAUCGCUCAAAGGAUAAAAGGUACGCCGGGGAUAACAGGCUGAUCUCCCCCAAGAGCUCAUAUCGACGGGGAGGUUUGGCACCUCGAUGUCGGCUCGUCACAUCCUGGGGCUGGAGAAGGUCCCAAGGGUUCGGCUGUUCGCCGAUUAA
rnacentral:rRNA from 1 species